rnacentral:rRNA from 1 species
CCUACGGGAGGCUGCAGUAGGGAAUAUUGCUCAAUGGGGGAAACCCUGAUGCAGCGACGCCGCGUGGAGGAUGAAGCUUUUCGGAUUGUAAACUCCUUUUGUUAGAGAAGAUAAUGACGGUAUCUGACGAAUAAGCACCGGCUAACUCCGUGCCAGCAGCCGCGGUAAUACGGAGGGUGCAAGCGUUACUCGGAAUCACUGGGCGUAAAGGGCGCGUAGGCGGGAUAGCAAGUCAGAUGUGAAAGCCUAUGGCUUAACCAUAGAACUGCAUUUGAAACUGGUAGUCUAGAGUAUGGGAGAGGUAGGUGGAAUUCUUGGUGUAGGGGUAAAAUCCGUAGAGAUUAAGAGGAAUACUCAUGGCGAAGGCGACCUGCUAGAACAUAACUGACGCUGAUGCGCGAAAGCGUGGGGAGCAAACAGGAUUAGAUACCCGGGUAGUC